CCUACGGGAGGCAGCAGUGGGGAAUAUUGCGCAAUGGGCGAAAGCCUGACGCAGCGACGCCGCGUGAGGGAUGAAGGUCUUCGGAUCGUAAACCUCUGUCAGCAGGGAAGAACGAUCACUGUGCUAAUCAGCAGUGAAUUAACGGUACCUGCAAAGGAAGCACCGGCUAACUCCGUGCCAGCAGCCGCGGUAAUACGGAGGGUGCGAGCGUUAAUCGGAAUUACUGGGCGGAAAGCGCGCGUAGGUGGUAGGUCAAGUCAAGGGUGAAAUCCCCGCGUUAAAGGUGGGAACUGCCUUUGAAACUGGCAAACUGGAGUGUGUGAGAGGAUAGUGGAA
rnacentral:rRNA from 1 species